rnacentral:tRNA from 1 species
AGCUCAGUUGGUAGAGCAUGGGGCUUGCAACUCCAAGAUUGUGGGUUUGAUUCCAGU